GAAAGUAGUAUAUAGUUGUCGCUGCUAACGAUAAUUUAGGAGUAUAUAAUGUGCUUCUGCUUUCU
rnacentral:tRNA from 1 species